GACGAACGCUGGCGGCGUGCUUAACACAUGCAAGUCGAACGGAAAGGCCCUGCUUUUGUGGGGUGCUCGAGUGGCGAACGGGUGAGCAACACGUGAGUAACCUGCCCUUGACUUUGGGAUAACUUCAGGAAACUGGGGCUAAUACCGGAUAGGAGCUCCUGCCGCAUGGUGGGGGUUGGAAAGUUUCGGCGGUUGGGGAUGGACUCGCGGCUUAUCAGCUUGUUGGUGGGGUAGUGGCUUACCAAGGCUUUGACGGGUAGCCGGCCUGAGAGGGUGACCGGCCACAUUGGGACUGAGAUACGGCCCAGACUCCUACGGGAGGCAGCAGUGGGGAAUAUUGCACAAUGGGCGGAAGCCUGAUGCAGCAACGCCGCGUGCGGGAUGACGGCCUUCGGGUUGUAAACCGCUUUCGCCUGUGACGAAGCGUGAGUGACGGUAAUGGGUAAAGAAGCACCGGCUAACUACGUGCCAGCAGCCGCGGUGAUACGUAGGGUGCGAGCGUUGUCCGGAUUUAUUGGGCGUAAAGGGCUCGUAGGUGGUCGAUCGCGUCGGAAGUGUAAUCUUGGGGCUUAACCCUGAGCGUGCUUUCGAUACGGGUUGACUUGAGGAAGGUAGGGGAGAAUGGAAUUCCUGGUGGAGCGGUGGAAUGCGCAGAUAUCAGGAGGAACACCAGUGGCGAAGGCGGUUCUCUGGGCCUUUCCUGACGCUGAGGAGCGAAAGCGUGGGGAGCGAACAGGCUUAGAUACCCUGGUAGUCCACGCUGUAAACGGUGGGUACUAGGUGUGGGGUCCAUUCCACGGGUUCCGUGCCGUAGCUAACGCUUUAAGUACCCCGCCUGGGGAGUACGGCCGCAAGGCUAAAACUCAAAGGAAUUGACGGGGCCCCGCACAAGCGGCGGAGCAUGCGGAUUAAUUCGAUGCAACGCGUAGAACCUUACCUGGGUUUGACAUGGAUCGGGAGCGCUCAGAGAUGGGUGUGCCUCUUUUGGGGUCGGUUCACAGGUGGUGCAUGGCUGUCGUCAGCUCGUGUCGUGAGAUGUUGGGUUAAGUCCCGCAACGAGCGCAACCCUUGUUCACUGUUGCCAGCACGUUAUGGUGGGGACUCAGUGGAGACCGCCGGGGUCAACUCGGAGGAAGGUGGGGAUGACGUCAAGUCAUCAUGCCCCUUAUGUCCAGGGCUUCACGCAUGCUACAAUGGCUGGUACAGAGAGUGGCGAGCCUGUGAGGGUGAGCGAAUCUCGGAAAGCCGGUCUCAGUUCGGAUUGGGGUCUGCAACUCGACCUCAUGAAGUCGGAGUCGCUAGUAAUCGCAGAUCAGCAACGCUGCGGUGAAUACGUUCCCGGG
rnacentral:rRNA from 1 species